rnacentral:rRNA from 1 species
GAUGAACGCUGGCGGCGUGCCUAACACAUGCAAGUCGAGCGGCAGCGAGGGGUGCUUGCACCCUGUCGGCGAGCGGCGGACGGCUGAGUAACGCGUGGGAACGUGCCCCAAAGUGAGGAAUAACUGCCCGAAAGGGUAGCUAAUACCGCAUAUUAUCUUCGGAUAAAAGGAUUUAUCCGCUUUGGGAGCGGCUCGCGUCGGAUUAGGUAGUUGGUGAGGUAAUGGCUCACCAAGCCGACGAUCCGUAGCUGGUCUGAGAGGAUGACCAGCCAGACUGGAACUGAGACACGGUCCAGACUCCUACGGGAGGCAGCAGUGAGGAAUCUUCCACAAUGGGCGAAAGCCUGAUGGAGCAACGCCGCGUGCAGGACGAAGGCCUUCGGGUUGUAAACUGCUUUUAUAAGUGAGGAAUAUGACGGUAACUUAUGAAUAAGGAUCGGCUAACUACGUG